CUGAAACACAAAGCAGGAGCGGUGAGGAACAGGUACCACUCUAGUGAUUUUGCCGCACGACGCAGAGAGAAGCACCAGGAUGGGAGGAAGCGUGCUUUUUUAUUUACUCCUGACUCUCGAAGACAGACCGGAACUCAGUGGCAGCUGGCCGGGUGUUCUCAGGCUCAAAGAAGAGGCGAGAUGGAAUGUGUUUGCCAGGAAGACGACAUCCUAGAGAGCCCCUCUGGAUGCUUGUCCAGCUUCAGUACAGAGAGAGCAGGCCUUUCUCAAGGGCAGCUGAGCUGUGAGAAUGGAUCCCGAGAGAGAAGGUGGAAGGCUGUCCAGGAGCCUGGGGACACUGUCACCCCUCCCUUACAUGUGAGGUGUAGAGCGCAGUAAGGAGAGUUUGGGAUGCUGGAAGAUGUCCAUGCUGCUGCACUGCGUUCUGAGGCUGGCCCUGGACUGUCUGCUCUCCUAGAACCAUCACCCUCAAAGCUCCAGCAUAUCCAAGAUGGUGUGAUAAGAUGGCCUGGCGUUGCCCGUGGGAGGAGAGAGAAGAGCAGUUGUUCUGUGUUGAUCCCACCAGUCGAGAAUAAAACCACUACCACAGUUUAAAGCCAAAUUUGAAGCAAGCUUUAAUAAAAUACUGGCCAGAUGAUUGGGCUCUGGCCAGGUCCACCUCUGGGUUUCCAGAAGAUGGCCCCAAAUCACGUUUUGCAAUAGUUUAAGUAUUUCCAAUCAGGUCCAAUCAGAGGCAAGCAUACAUCCUGACAUACUUCCUGCCUGUGAAC